rnacentral:rRNA from 1 species
GUGGGGAAUAUUGCACAAUGGGGGAAACCCUGAUGCAGCGACGCCGCGUGAGUGAAGAAGUAUUUCGGUACGUAAAGCUCUAUCAGCAAGGAAGAAGAUGACGGUACUUGACUAAGAAGCCCCGGCUAACUACGUGCCAGCAGCCGCGGUAAUACGUAGGGGGCAAGCGUUAUCCGGAUUUACUGGGUGUAAAGGGAGCGUAGACGGUAUGGUAAGUCAGAUGUGAAAGCCCGGGGCUCAACCCCGGGACUGCAUUUGAAACUAUCAGACUAGAGUGCAGGAGAGGUAAGUGGAAUUCCUAGUGUAGCGGUGAAAUGCGUAGAUAUUAGGAGGAACACCAGUGGCGAAGGCGGCUUACUGGACUGUAACUGACGUUGAGGCUCGAAAGCGUGGGGAGCAAACAGGAUUAGAAACCCUAGUAGUCC